rnacentral:rRNA from 1 species
CUGCAGCUCAAGUGGUGACCGUUAUUAUUGGGCCUAAAACGUCCGUAGCCUGUCUAUUAAAUGCCUGGGUAAAUCGUGUAGCUUAACUAUACGAAUUCCGGGUAGACUGAUAGGCUUGAGACCGGGAGAGGCUAGAGGUACUCCUGGGGUAGGGGUGAAAUCCUGUAAUCCUGGGGGGACCACCAGUGGCGAAGGCGUCUAGCUAGAACGGGUCUGACGGUGAGGGACGAAGCCCUGGGGCGCAAACCGGAUUAGAUACCCGAGUAGUC